AGGCACAGCGCUCAGGAGCUGGGAUUUAAAUUGGCUACAGGGAACCUGAAAACAAAGGGCGUUCACAUUAGCAACCGUGGCUCCCUUGCUUUGUCUAGGACCAAGUGUGUGCGAAAUAGCCCAGGCGACCCUGCCGGGCUACGGCCUCCGCCGAAUUUCACUUUACAGCCUGUCUUUCCAGAACUGGCAUCGUUAAUUUGUAUGCUGCCCGAAAGCUGUCCUUUAUCCCAAAGCCCUCCUCACAAAGCAGAUGCAGACCUCCAGAAGUGCACCGGAAAUAGGAGUCAAUUUCAAGUGUCAGAAACCAAGACCCCUGACUGGUUCGGCAUCUGUCCCUGCAAGACUUAGAAAACCAACCCUGUGCUUAAGAGGGAGAAGUAGAGAUGAAAGAUGAAAGACGGAGCAGCGGAAUCAAGAGAAGGAAUUAGCAGAACAGGACAAUGUGGUUUCAAUGGUUUUCUGCGACUGUUUCAGGAACAACAGUUCCUUGAUUUGGACUUGCUCCUGGAGAGAAAUGAAGAUCAGUGCAUUGAGGCUCCGAAGGAUAAAGUGACUUCUCCGUCUCUCACAGCCGUACCUACCCUUGGCGUCAGUCAGUAAUUGCUUCUGAAGCUACGCACAUCAUCAUCAUUAAAACCGUGGCAUUAAUAGGCAUAUUGUAUCUAGAACAGGGGGGCUUGAUGAUCCUGUUGCUGUCCAGACUGGUUGUAUCAGGACUGUGAAGGGUAGCAGAACACGCUGCUUUGGCCCCAGGAUUAUUUGGAGCUGGAGGCAGUUGAGAAAAAGCAGGUACCAGAAAGCUCAAAGCGGGUGCCAGAAAGCUCUCUGCCCUCCCCAGUGGCCUCAAAGCGUAACAUAAAUUUGGAAAGGUGUCCCCUCCUCCCCUCUCGACUGGGAAAGAAAGAAGUUAACCACCAGAGAUAAUUGAGACCCUUAUCAGCCCAGAGACUGUCACCAAAGGAACGUAUAUAACCAACUAUGCUAAAACUAGCCCUUGUCUACCAUUGGUUUUCCUAUAUAUUUGCCACCCUAGAAACUCAGGUGGCUUCUCUACAAAUUUCUUUACAAAUGUAUCGUUCUUCUAUUAAGAUCCUAUACACGCCAAAGCUCUAACCACCCCUCUGAGUUACCCAUCACAGAGCACUCCCAUCUGUAUCCGAUGCACAUGCCAAUAAACUUUUGUUUGUUUUUCUCUCA